rnacentral:lncRNA from 1 species
GCCCUCCCGCCUGGCUCUCGCCUCGGCCUGCGGCCGGGAUCCUCCGCCCGGGUCGCGCAGCGGAGGCCGAGGGCUGGGACGGGCGGCUGGGAAGUGGGAAAGGGAGCUCCUUUUGUCUUCUCUUCCCAUCCCCCAGGUUUGGGAAAGUUUUCCUUUUGGGAAAGCCCCUCUCUUCAGCCUGCUGGCGGGUGUCGGAUUGGUUAGCGACCACCGGCCCCCGCCUCCCCCAACAGGAUUCUCCUUUGGGCCACAGGUCUUCCGGAAGUUGCCAAACCCCGGUAGCGGCAGCGUCCGGCUGGGGGCUUUAUUAGGGGGCACCGGGGUCUGCUUUCCGACUCCCUUCCGACUCCGCGCCUGCGCAGGAAGCGAUUUGGGGAGUGUUGUGAAUUCCGAGGGCUCCACACUUAAGAGGUUGUACACUCACCUGUCUACCUGGACUCCAAUUUCCAUAUUUCCAGCCACUUGAGGACUGAGAGGUGGAUGAUAAACCCUGUCAUAGUGGAGCAAGUUCAGGUGUUUAACCGCUGUUAUGGGGGAUCUGCCUUUUCUCCCUCUUCUUUCUUACUUCCAUAAGUAUGUAUGUGCAGAGAUUGAAAAAUAACCUUGAGAGAGUCCAUCCAUCUAACUCCAGUUCAUUGGAAAUUUCUGCUUCUUUGAGACUGAGGUUAUAUUCCACUUCUUCUGACUACACCACCACCAUCAAUCUCCUUCUCUGAACUCUUGGAUCAUUACUUCAACCUGAAACAACUCAUCAGGCAGAAUAGUUGCCUACUGCCCCAACCCCACCAAAUGUUCCAGCACCUCUGAUAUUACCUCACAUGGCAAGAGGGCUUUGAAGAUGUGAUUGAGUCAAGGAUCUUGAAUGGGGAGAUUAUCCUGAAUUAUUCAGCUGGACCCAGUGUAAUCACAAAGGUUUUUCAAAGAUGGAAGAGAGGCAGAAGAGCCAGAAAAGGAUAUGUGACAAUGGAGUCAGUGUCAGAGUUGGAGUGACGUGAUGUGAGAAGGAUUCAACCUGCUGUUUCUGGCUUUGAGGAUGAAAGAAGGGGCCAUGAGCCAAGCAAUACAGGUGGCUUCUUUCAAGAAGUUGGAAAAGUGGUAAUAUUUUAUGUUAUUUUGGUUUGAUUUUUGUUUGUGGCAUAUGGCUCUGCUGUCCUGUGACUCUAAGUAGAAGAGAAAAUAGUGCCAAUAAUUCUUCAUGGAGAUGCACCUCUCUCAAGUCUUGAACAAUGUUUGAGGUAGGUGGUGGCCUAAAUGAAUGAGCAUGUCAUGUGUGAUUACUUAGUGAGUGUAGUUUUGUAAGGCGCACCAAGGAACUGGUAAUUAACUGCUAGGCAUGAGAUUACCCCAAGAUUCUACAAACCCACCUAAGCGUUGUUAUAUUUGUGAAAAGAUUAGAGGAGCUGAACUGUGUAUCUUCUUGGUCUCCAGUGGGCAGAUACAAGGGGAUUGCAGCAAAGAUUGGGGAAGUGGCCUCCAAGUAUGCAUGUGGAUGUCCUCUGCUCCUCUGAAACAUGACGGAUGGCCAUUGUCUUUGUUAGAACAAAUAAAAAGCAGAAGUAUAUUUGCCUUUUAGAGAGAGCUCGGUGUUCCUUUUUGCCAAACACAGUACUCUCUCACACCUGCCUUCUGGGGCAGGGAUAUUUUAUUGGACCACAGAUAUUCUGAGGGGAAAGGAGUUAAAAGUCAGAGCUUGACAAAUGCCAGCUCCGGUGCUAAUCAGCAUUUGUCAAAUGCUCUGAUUCUAGGCUUUGAAAAGUCUUGAGUUAUUAAUGAAGUACCCACUAUUCACUGAACACUGUGUAAAGUCCCCAAAAUGGAAAGAAUAAUACUUGCUCGUGUCCUUUUGAAGUUCAUGUUUAUAUUGUCUGUUUCCAGGAAAAGUGCUUUCAGCUGGGCUGAUGAGAACACCUUGGCACUCUUUCCUGCAAUGGGCACUGAUUGAGGGUCUUCCUGGUGUGGCAUCAUCAAAUCCCUGUUGCUCAAACCCACUAAUUAGCUCAUUCUUAUCUACAAGUAGCAGGGGCCCUAAAGCUCUCUGAGAAGAUCUCAUACUGUGUCUCCUACAUUUCAUCUUCUAUAAUCUCUUAUUCUUAGAGACAGAAAGAUGGUUAAAAGACAUCACUUCAUUUCUUUCUCUGGAUUUGGAAAGAGUUAUAUAUUGGGAUUAUGCUGUUAGUUUACACUUGCAUUGUUUAAAUUAGAGGAAAGGUUAUUUUGUGCAGAACAAAUAAAAAUUACUCUUUAACUACCUUUCAGAAUAUCCCAACUUUUAACAUAAGCUGUUUUGUAAAGGCUGGUUGUAGUGACUUGCUUCAUAAUAGACUAUUAAAAUAAGAUGCAUUGAAAUCUUGUUCUUUUCUUUGCAAUACCAUGUAUCAGCUUUGUUUUGAGAGGCAAACUCAAUUUUCCCCUGAAAUUAGGAAAUUACUGUAAGGGACUGGAAUGACACACAAGAAAAGAUUACAUCAUAGCAGGGAGACUAGCCAGUUAGAAUGGGGAUUUCUUUACAAACACUAGACUGGACUAUGGAUUAUAAUUUACCUAGUGUUAAUAGUUGCAGUCAUACAUUAAGGACAAUAUGUAUGUUCUUUAGUUUUUUGUCACUGAGCAGAGGUAGAAACAGGGAAACAACAAAGGCCGAAUAAUUUCCAGCCAUUGCUGCUUUGUUUGCACGGAGCCCUUUGAAAUGUGAACUAAGAAUAUUUCUCAGAAGGUUUUUAGGUGAUUCAUAUACACAGUAAAGUUUCAGAAGUGCUAUAUUCGAGGGCAUAUGGAAACCCAUGGCUUUUCUGCUAGAGGAUUGUCAAAAGUCCAGAAUUUCAUAACUAAAUACCAUGAAUUUAGUAUAGUAGAGCACAGAACUAAAGGCUGUCUUGUGGCUGCAAAGAGUUGACUUCACAUAGCAUAAACUAUAGUCUAAGACAGUGACUUAGACAUAAGAGAGAAUAGAACUUGGUAACUGGGAUUGUUUUACAGCGUGAUCAUGUAUAUUUCUAUAUUAUUCUAAAAAUAUUUAUUAUAUUUAUAUAAAAAUUGUUACAACCGUGUACAAGUGUGCAUAAAUAAAUAGUGUAUUUAUGUAGUCUUUAUUUGAAUGUCAGGCCAGUUAGAGAAGCUAGACAUGUAUAACCAGUUUAGUCUUAACAAUCAAGUUCAGAAAAUAAUAUGUAGACUUCCACCUAGUUCCUUUUCUGAAUAAUAUUAUAGACUUAAGGAAGCUAAUAAGAGUCCAAGAUUCUCUGAGUGCCUUUGUGAAUUAUUUCAUCUGAUUCAUGUAUGUACCUUCAUAUAAUGGCUUUUAAUAUUGAGGAAUAUUUGGAGAUUAAAAGAUUAGAGUAAUUCUGAGCUCAUUAAAUUGUAGAUUGUCAUUUCUUAUGAGGAUUUACUUUUCUGGUACAACAUGUUCUUAUCACUAGUUAUAAUGUAUUUUUUUACUUUUGGCUUAGAUUUUGAGCCCUCUAUUCAUGACAUAUCAAAUGUAGUUCUUUAGAUAUGCUGCUUUCUAAUUAGGAAGCAGAAUGUGAUUGCCUACUAUUCUCUAGCCACGUACCUACUAGUGAAUAUAUAAAGGAUGGAAUUCAGGCCGUGGUUUAUGAAAUUCAGGCUGUGUUUUUGAGUACUUCCAAGUAUGUUUCAAGUAACUUGGUUAUGGUUUUGAAUGACUAGGAAAAUGCUUUGCUUUUUUUGAAAGGGAAAUUGUUCAAAAAUGAGAUUCAAUGGAAAACACAGAGGGUGCUAAAAAUGCAGAGACAUUGUAUAAACCUAUAAGAAAUUUUACAUGGAACCAGAAUUUUGAUGCCCCUUAAAAGGAAACCAAUGAGAUUCCUUAUUCAUUAGUACUUUGAAAGUUGGCAGUGGAAUGAGGAUCUGUGGAGGAAGGGACAGCUGGAUCUUGCACUCAGGACUUCUGCCCUCUGCUCCUCAAAGAACUCAUUAGUCACUGUUCCCACUCCCACCCUGGCACCAAGGAAAAUGUGGAUGUUUCCACCUUUCCCACCCAGGCCUAUUUAGGGCAUACAACCCUUCCUGAAUUUCCUGCAGUACAGUUGAGAUCACACUGUAGCCUCUAACAAGCAUUUACCAGAGAUUCAGCGAUGACAACAGAGAACUACAAUAUAAUGAGUAACAGAUAACCACUCCAUAGAUGUUGCAUGCAUUUCCGAGUGUAUACAGCCCAUUCUCACCUUACAGGAGAACCAGGAAAAGAGAACAAUUUGGGAAGGUCUCUUCAUUUAAUUUUUCCCACACUGCUGCCUCUUCUAUCUUUGGCUUGUUUCUUCUUCUCACUUAGGAGGAAGUGGUUCUCAGAUAAUUGACUAAUCACUUCUUCAUGGUCGUGAACUCAAGGACUUACCUGUUAUGAGGGGAGAAGCAUAAUAAAGAUUACAUCAUGUGAACUUUUGAAAUAAAAUGCCCGAAGACAUAAGAGAGACCCUUACCACUGUCACACUCAAAAGGAAAGCUUAGUAGCUACAGAGAUUUAAAAAGCAAGCAAACAAGCAACCAAGCAAACAACAAAGACCUGAAGAAAAUUCCAGAAUAAUCCUCAACCUGUGCUUUCACAUGCUAAAUUUUCAUAAUGAGAAAGAUAAACUGUGUAUCUUGUGGUGUCAGUGGUCAGUGUGGUGAUAGUAGUUGUGGUUUGGGCUGCUUUUUUCCUUGUUUAUUUUUUCCAAAUUUUAUUUGGGAAAAUUUCUGCUGUUUCCAUUGUGAACUAAAGUUACAUAUACUGGAUGAUAUAACUUUAACUCCUAAGAGUAUGUUUGGCUAUGUUUUUGGAAUUAGGUAUUAUGCAUGCCACCUUGUGGCCAUUAUUAAGAAAACACCUAACAUGAAGACGAGAAACAGGAUCAUUAGUGAGAGCAGCUUGAGCUUGGAGCAGUACUUUCCCAAGUCUGUUUCUCCAACAGCAUCCUUAGAACCCUUAGAACCUGGAUAUCACAUUUUAGUGGGAGGAGACAGACAAUAAAUAAAACAAAGUAUAGUAAGUGCUCUGGAGAAAAGUAAUGCAAAGAAGAGGGCCAGAAAGUAUCAAAAAGUUUGAAAUUACAAAUAAGGUACUCUUGGAAGACCUCACUAAGGUCACAUUUGAGCAGAGAUCUGAACAGCAUGAGAGACAACUGGGGGUGGGGGGGGGCAGAAUAAUGUUUCAGAUAUGUACAUUGCAACUGCAAAGGCCUGAGACAGGAAUUUGCCUGGCCUGUUCCAGCUUAGCAAAGAAAGAGGCCUGUGUUAAUGAUACUCAGAGAGGAAGGAGGCAAUAGUAGAACAUGAAGCCAGAAAAGUGACCAGAUGCAGGAGUGACUAAGGCUUUGUAGACUGCUGUAUAGACUCUGAGGGAAAUGAGCAGUCAUUGAUGGGUUUUUCGCACAGAAGGAUCUUGGUGUGUUUUAAAAGGAACAUUCUGUAUUCUAUGUUGAAAACAGACUGAAAAGCACAAGAGAAAGAACAGGAAGAGCAAUUAGGAGGCUGUGGUAGAUUAUUAUUCAGCAAAUAUUCACCCUACUGUCCUCCCCAUAAGAUUUCCCCAGGCCACCAUCACUGGAUUUGGCUAUUUGACUUGCUGUAGUCAAUGGAAUGUGAGUGAAAAGUGACUCUGUACCAGUGGGGAGGCAAAGCCUUAAAAGACCCAGCAAAUUUCUUCCAGCCCUUUUGUGCUUCUGCCAAAAGAAUACUGUGAGCAAUCAGUGCCCUUAAGCCUGGGCCUCAGAACGAGAGAUAUGGAGCAAACCUGAACCUGAACAGCAGCCUACAAUCAAGCCAGGAUGACCCUGCAAAGCCCAGCCAACGAUAGCAAAGCCACAGCAGACUUGUAGACCAAUGAGCAUGAAAUAAAUUGCAUUGAAAGCUACUGAGAUUGGAGGAAUAAUUUUUAUGCAGGAUUACUGCAGUGAACCUGAUUGAUACAGGAGCUACUGCAAUAAUCCAGGGAAAGAGGGGAUGAUGAGCUGAAGUAAACUAGGAUGGUUGCGAUCGGAUUAGAGUCUGUAUAUACAUUUGAGGACAAGAUUUGAAAGAAUUUGCUGAUGGUUUAGCUAUUAAGUGUGAAAGAGAAAUUUUGAAAUUUUGGUCCAAACAAUGGGAAUGAUUGAGUUGCCAUUUACUGACACGGGGAACAUGAAAGAAGGGGCAGGUUUACUUGAUUCAGGGCAUGCAGAGGAGAGCAGAGUUAAACUUUAUAUAUGUUAAGUUUCAUAUGCGUCUUAUAUUUGGAAGUAGAGGUAUCUUCCUAUAUUUGUAAAAAGAGGUAUCCAGCAAGUAAUUUGACAUUUAAAAAAGAUUUCUGGAGAUCAUUUCUGCUCUGGCUAUAAUGGGAUGACAGAGACUACAUUUACUGUGUACCUCAAACAAAUAGAAAAUUGGACAAAACAAUGUUUUCAGGCAUAAUAAACAAAUUGAACCUUAUUAUUACCUCAGCUUGGCUUGCCACCUAGAGGCAGUUUUCGAGCUUUAAUAGAUGGAGGGUUUAUUAGUCUGUUUUCACGCUGCUAUAAAGAAUGACCUGAAACUGGGUAAUUUAAAAAGGAAAGAGGUUUAAUUGACUCACAGUUCCUCAUGGCUGGGGAGGCCUCAGGAAACUUACAAUCAUGGUGGAAGGUGAAGGGGAAGCAAGGCAUGUCUUUAAGAGGUGGCAGGAGAGAGAGAGAGACAGAGAGAGAGAGAGAGAGACAGAGAGAGCAAAAGUGCAGGGGAAACUGCCGCUUUUAAACCGUCAGAUCUCAUGAGAACUCCCUCACUAUCACAAGAACAGCAUAGGGAAAACUGCCCACAUGAUCCAGUCACCUCCCACCAAGUCCCUUUCUUGACACAUGGGGGAUUACAAUUUGAGAUAAGAUUUAGGUGGGGACACAGAGCCAAACCAUAUCAGAGGGAAACCUCGAACAGAUCCUGGCAGUCUACCUUAGUGGAGGGAUUAGAAAUUAGAGUUCAUGGAGACUAAAGUGGAUAGAGAUUUUGGGUGGGGGGGGGGGGUUGGUGAAGAGAGAGAGAGAGAGAUAAGAGAGAAUAUACCCAGAGAUCACAAAGGGGUCCCUUGAGCCUUGGUAUGUGCAUGUGAGAGAGAAAGAUACCCCUGGCAGGGGUAAGAACUGCUGGGAGGCAAUAAGCCAAAUAAUUCCUGAAGCUCACUUAAGGCUGGGAAGAGUUUGUGUUCCCAUCAGUUAGAGUGGAAAGACCUUAUUACACUGUAUUAUAUAGGGGCAUUGAAUAGAAUCCUCAGAAGAAUACCUCAGUAGUGAAGUUAGUAGUGAGGCUAAAUUAGCCCUGGACUAAAAUAUACUCUGGAUUUCCCUAACAAGCCUCAAAAGAGGUAGACUGCUACUAAGUAACAUAACUGCGUGCUAGAACAAAGCCUAAGACUACUAGAAGGGUUACAACAAAAUCUACCACCCUAUUAAGUGAGGUUUCAAUGUCGCAAAGCAAUAAAACAUUUACCAGACAGUAGAAAGAAUAAGAAACCUAACCCAUAAUCAGAAGAAAAAUGUCAAUAAAUAGAAACAGCACCAGAAAUGACAGAGGUGAUGUAAUGACUAAAAUUGUCUAUUGUAAAUAUGCUUCACAUCAUGAGUAAGGUAUAGGGAAGCAUGAGCAUGAUGAAGAGAGAUAUAGAUAAUAGAAGAAGACAAAUCAAAGUUAUAGAGAUGAAAAAUACAAUAGAUUCUUCAUUUCAUCUCUGAAAUGAAUAGAUUGAACGGGAUCAACAGCUGAUUAGAUACUGCAGAAGAAAAGAUGAGUGAAAUUGAAGGAGCAAUAGAAUCUAUCAAAAAUGAAGCUCAGGGAGAAAAAUGACUAAUAGAAAAAUGAACAGAGCAUCAGUGACCUCAGGAACAAAGUCAGGAGAUCUAAUAUAAUUGGAACCACUGAAGCAAGGUGGAGGAGUGUAAAAAGAGAAGACAUAAUGGCCAAAUGUUUGUCCAACUGUCAUGAAAAGUAUAAACUCAUAGAUCCUAGAAACUCAAAGAAUCCUAAGACGGAAAAGCAUCCUAAGAAAAUCACACCAAUACACAUUGUAAUUGAAUUUUAGAAAACCAGUUUUGAUAAAGAGAAAAAUCAUAAUAGCAGCCAGAGGAAAAAAAAAAGGCACUGUCUCAACAGAAACUUCUCAUCAGAAACUACACAAACUGGAUGACAGUCCUCCAAGUGUUGAAAGAAAAAAAACCUGUCAAUCUAGAAUUCUAUGUCCAGGUUUUUGAUUUUUUAAAAAUAAAGGUGAAUAAACAAUUCUCCAGACAAACAAAAGAGGUAAAAUUCAUUGUCAGCAAAUCUAAUAUAGUCUCAUCCUGCAUGGCAUAGGGCCAAACUCUGUAAAGAAUAGAAUAUGGAGAACUGACAAUGUAUGGAUUUUAAGCCUAGGUCAAAAAGAUAUUGGAGCUUCCAACUUGCUCCUUUUUGCAUUGCUCCUCUGAGGAAAACCCAACUGCCAUGUCCUGAGGAUGCUCACAUCUACAGAGAGUUUACAUGGAGAGAAACUGAAGUCUCCAGCCAAGACCCAGCAUCAACUUCCCAGUUACGUGAGUGAGCCAUCUUGGAAGCAAAUUUUGCAGCACCAGUAAAGUGUUUAGAUAACUGCAACCCCUUUCGACAUCUUUUAUUUAUUUAUUAUUAUUAUACUUUCAGUUUUAGGGUACUUGCGCACAAUGUGCAGGUUAGUUACAUAUGUAUAGAUGUGCCAUGUUGUUGUGCUGCACCCAGUAACUCGUCAUUUAACAUUAGGUAUAUCUCCUCAUGCUAUCCUUCCUCCCCACCCCACCCCACAACAGGCUCUGGUGUGUGAUGUUCCCCUUCCUGUGUCCAUGUGUUCUCAUUGUUCAAUUCCCACCUGUGAGUGAGAACAUGCAGUGUUUGGUUUUUUUGUGCUUGUGAUAGUUUGCUGAGAAUGAUGGUUUCCAGCUUCAUCCAUGUCCCUACAAAGGAUAUGAACUCAUCAUUUUUUAUGGCUGCAUAGUAUUCCAUGGUGUAUAUGUGCCACAUUUUCUUAAUCCAGUCUAUCAUCGAUGGACAUUUGGGUUGGUUCCAAGUCUUUGCUAUUGUGAAUAGUGCCGCAAUAAACUUACCUGUGCCUGUGUCUUUAUAGCAGCAUGAUUUAUAAUCCUUUGGGUAUAUACCCAGUAAUGGGAUGGCUGGGUCAAAUGGUAUUUCUAGUUCUAGAUCCCUGAGGAAUUGCCACACUGACUUCCACAAUGGUUGAACUAGCUUACAGUCCCACCAACAGUGUAAAAGUGUUCCUAUUUCUCCACAUCCUCUCCAGCACCUGUUGUUUCCUGACAUUUUAAUGAUUGCUAUUCUAACUGGUGUGAGAUGGUAUCUCAUUGUGGUUUUGAUUUGCAUUUCUCUGAUGGCCAGUGAUGAUGACCAUUUUUUCAUGUGUCUGUUGGCUGCAUAAAUAUCUUCUUUUGAGAAGUGUCUGUUCAUAUCCUACGCCCACUUUUUGAUGGGGUUGUUUGUUUUUUUCUUGUAAAUUUGUUUGAGUUCAUUGUAGAUUCUGGAUAUUAGCCCUUUGUCAGAUGAGUAGAUUGCAAAAAUUUUCUCCCAUUCUGUAGGUUGCCUGUUCACUCUGAUGGUAGUCUCUUUUGCUGUGCAGAAGCUCUUUAGUUUAAUUAGAUCCCAUUUGUCAAUUUUGGCUUCUGUUGCCAUUGCUUUUGGUGUUUUAGACAUGAAGUCCUUGCCCAUGCCUGUGUCCUGAAUGGUAUUGCCUAGGUUUUAUUCAAGGGUUUUUAUGGUUUUAGGUCUAACAUUUAAGUCUUUAAUCCAUCUUGAAUUAAUUUUUGUAUAAGGUGUAAGGAAGGGAUCCAGUUUCAGCUUUCUACAUAUGGCUGCCAGUUUUCCCAGCACCAUUUAUUAAAGAGGGAAUCCUUUCCCCAUUUCUUG